UACAGAGGUCCCGAGCGUUGUUCGGAUUCAUUGGGCGUAAAGGGUGCGUAGGCGGCGGGGCAAGUCUGAUGUGAAAUCCUGGGGCUCAACCCCGGAACUGCAUUGGAUACUGCCUUGCUCGAGUACUGGAGAGGGAACUGGAAUUUACGGUGUAGCAGUGAAAUGCGUAGAUAUUGGGAGGAACACCAGUGGCGAAAGCGGGUAGCUGGGCCGACACUGACGCUGAGGCGCGAAAGCCAGGGGAGCGAACGGG
rnacentral:rRNA from 1 species